GUGCCAGCAGCCGCGGUAAUGCGAAGGGUGCAAGCGUUACUCGGAAUUACUGGGCGUAAAGCGUGCGUAGGUGGUCGUUUAAGUCCGUUGUGAAAGCCCUGGGCUCAACCUGGGAACUGCAGUGGAUACUGGACGACUAGAGUGUGGUAGAGGGUAGCGGAAUUCCUGGUGUAGCAGUGAAAUGCGUAGAGAUCAGGAGGAACAUCCAUGGCGAAGGCAGCUACCUGGACCAACACUGACACUGAGGCACGAAAGCGUGGGGAGCAAACAGGAUUAGAUACCCUGGUAGUCCACGCCCUAAACGAUGCGAACUGGAUGUUGGGUGCAAUUUGGCACGCAGUAUCGAAGCUAACGCGUUAAGUUCGCCGCCUGGGGAGUACGGUCGCAAGACUGAAACUCAAAGGAAUUGACGGGGGCCCGCACAAGCGGUGGAGUAUGUGGUUUAAUUCGAUGCAACGCGAAGAACCUUACCUGGCCUUGGCAUGUCGAGAACUUUCCAGAGAUGGAUGGGUGCCUUCGGGAACUCGAACACAGGUGCUGCAUGGCUGUCCGUCAGCUCGUGUCGUGAGAUGUUGGGUUAAGUCCCGCAACGAGCGAGACCCA
rnacentral:rRNA from 1 species